UACGAAGGGGGCUAGCGUUGCUCGGAAUCACUGGGCGUAAAGGGUGCGUAGGCGGGUCUUUAAGUCAGGGGUGAAAUCCUGGAGCUCAACUCCAGAACUGCCUUUGAUACUGAAGAUCUUGAGUUCGGGAGAGGUGAGUGGAACUGCGAGUGUAGAGGUGAAAUUCGUAGAUAUUCGCAAGAACACCAGUGGCGAAGGCGGCUCACUGGUCCGGUACUGACGCUGAGGUGCGAAAGCGAUGG
rnacentral:rRNA from 1 species